GGUUUCACCAUGUUGGCUAGGCUGGUCUGGAACUGCUGACUUCAGGUGUGAGCCACUGUGCCCGGCCUGGGCUGCACUUCUGAGUCCCGGAAGCUCUUUCAGGAUUCCAUUUCUUACUUGGUUGUAUGAUUACCAAAAAUAUGUUUUAGGAACACCUUUUUUUUUUUCUUCCAGCUCCAGUUCAAAGGAACACUGUUCUUGAAGAAAAAAAAAAAAAUAGCAAAUACGCAUAGAUUAACAUUUUAGGGAGUUUCCAAUCUGUUAAAAGCUUAAGGAUCAACUACAGGUUUCUUACAUAGAAUACACUUGGCUUUUUAUAUGGGAAUAUUUCCUUUAAUCAUUUCUGAGAAUCAGAAGUUUGCCAGUAUUUCAGCUUUUUUACUAUUUUGCU